GGAGGAGAGAGGACUGGGGAAAAAAGAAGAAUCAAGUGCUUCAGAGAAGAUUUGGGAAUUUAAGGAGACUUCAUGAAAAGAAGAAAGAUGAACACCAUUUAUUUAUUCUCCUGUAUUUUCAGAGGGACAGACAAUGAGGAUGCUGCAAAUAUUGAAUUCACAGCAACAAGGAAAGCAGAGAGCUUCACUGUAUUAAGAUGGCUUGGAUAUGCCAUAGCUGGCUUUGAAAAUCAAGGAAUGAAAGAAAAUUCCAAGAGGGAAGAACAUACCCUAGAUGAUGGUAAUAAAGAUAAAAGAGUAUUGGUUCUACACUGCAGGGGUCACAAUUUGGCCAACCUGUUGAACGCGCUCAAAACUUGAUUCUUUAUAAGGUCUCAGAUAAGUCUGACAAACAACCUCGGCCUUGUGAAACUCUUCAGAGAGAACAUAAUUAAUCCCACCUGGGCUUCUGACCUACAGAAAUGUAGGUUGAUAAAUGCGCAUUAUUUUACUAAGUCUUUCGUAAUAUAUUAGACAGAGUUAGGAAAAUAAGAAAUGAUAUAAGACCUUUGCUUCUAAACUCUGAUCUUUGUGGUGCAAAUGUCAGUUCACAUGGAUUUAUAUAUGAAAUAUAUAAGUAUAUUUCUUAUGCAUGUCACUAUAUGUAAUUUUACUUUGGGCCUUUUUGAUUAAUAUUUGUAAAUAUCAAAGAAAAAAAAAUAGCACAUUUUACCAGCUAGCAAGCUCCUGUGAGUCAGUAGUGACACUGUUGGCAAAGCCACCCAAGCUCCAAAGACAUAUAAAUCCCAUCCCUACUCCUAGAGAGAGACAGAGAGAGAGAGAGGGAGAGAGAGAGGUUAGACAAUCUUAAAUAAAAGACUUUAAUUAUCUUUUAAAGUGCCAUCUGGACUUUAUAGAAUGAAUGGUCCUUUAAUUGUCUGAGUUUCCCCUUUCUUUCUGUAAGCCCCCCAGUACCGUCAAAGUAGCCAUAUCACGUUAUAGUCAGCACUAACAUUGCUUCAGUUCUCGCUGGCUUCUUUCCUAAGAAGUACCCAUGAAAUCAGAAUCCCCCAACCACCAUCAGCAAAAUCACAAUACUACCAUUUCCCCAGAAAAGAAAAUCUUCCAAUUUAAAAAUUUUACUCUGAGAAUUUUUCUACUGGUCACACUGAAAUUAAAUUUUUCAUGUGAUUCUAAAACAAAGCUAAAUGCGCUGAUUUCUGUUCAGAUUGCACAGAUCUUUUGCCUUUUGCUAAAACAAAGCUAAUGCAUUAAUAUUUAAUAGAUGGUUCAGUCCAAGGAAACCAAGAGUGUAGGGACAAAUAAAUUUUGAUCUGGUGAAAAGGAAGGGAAUUUCAAAUUGGCUGCAGUGUGAAAGAAAAUCUCAAAAAUAACAAAAAAUGUCAUAUUUUUUCUUCACUCAUUGCUCCAGUAGAACAAAUUUAAAGUUCUUCUUUUUUUCUCUCUCUUAAAUCAACCAACUAGAAAGGAAGAUGUUAAAUAACAGUGCUGGGGCAAAGAACUUCAAGGAAAGGGCAGUUUUGAUAUUUGACGAGGGCACAAGUUUUGGUUCUUAUGCAAGUCUGCACUCUCUCAGUGAAAACAAUAAGGGAUAACUCUGGGGUCUCUUUCAUGAUGGUGCAAAUCCCAUUCAUUGGCCUGCAUCCUCAAGACCUAAUACCUUCCCAGAAGUCACAUUUCAUAAUGUCAUCACUUUGGGUGCUAGAUACAUUUGGAGCGAACAUAAACAGACACAGUUGCAUUUCUGUUUCUUUAGUUUCAAAAGGGCAAAAAAACUCUGCUCCCCAAAAUGCUCCAUCUAUUUCAAUACAAACAAGAAAUGUCUAUUCUCACACAGAAACAAUGUAACUCAGUGACACCGCUUCUGCCUGGCAAGCGCAAGGUACUGAGUACGAUCCCUGGUACAAAGAAAUACUGAAAAACAUUUUUUUUUCAGUAUUUUAUUGUUCAUAGAAGCUUGCAGAUGUGCACUGAAGGCCCAAAGUAUUUAAAAGUACA